rnacentral:rRNA from 1 species
GAGUUUGAUCCUGGCUCAGAACGAACGCUGGCGGCGUGCCUAACACAUGCAAGUCGAACGGAUUUGAGGGGCUUGCUCCUCAAGUUAGUGGCGCACGGGUGAGUAACGCGUAGAUAAUCUGCCUGAUGAUYUGGGAUAACACUUCGAAAGGGGUGCUAAUACCGGAUAAGCCCACGGGGUCUUUGGAUUCUGCGGGAAAAGGGGGGGACUUUCGGGCCUUCUGUCAUCAGAUGAGUCUGCGUACCAUUAGCUAGUUGGUAGGGUAACGGCCUACCAAGGCGAUGACGGCUAGGGGGCGUGAGAGCGCGUUCCCCAACGUAAGGGACUGAGACACGGCCCUAACUCCUACGGGAGGCAGCAGUCGAGAAUAUUUCGCAAUGGGGGAAACCCUGACGAAGCGACACCGCGUGAAGGAAGAAGGCCCUCGGGUUGUAAACUUCUUUUGGCGGGGAACAAGCCGCAAGGCUGAGCGUACCCGCAGAAUAAGGCGCUGCUAACUUCGUGCCAGCAGCCGCGGUAAUAC